GAGUCUGUUGUACGGCGAUGUUGUCGUUGUGUGAACCUCAUAGAGUGUACCUACACAAACCUAGAUGGUAUAGCCUACUAUACACCGGGGCUAUAUGGUAUAGCUUA